rnacentral:lncRNA from 1 species
GCUAUGAUUGUGGGAUUGUGAGUUAGCGAUACGUGUUAGUGGGUUAGGUUCUAACCCGGUGGACCUUUCGUAGGUUCGGUUGCACCGUCUUCACAGUCGAGAGAUUUUCGUCAGACACGUACAGGUGGGUACUUCGAUCCGACGUCGGUACAGUGGUGCACGCUCGGUGACGUUUCCUUUACCCUUGUUGUUUAUAUCAUUUACCUUAUACAUGUUGAGCCUUGCACCCAUGCUAUUUCCUUAUUUACUCUACUUAGUUGUUGCCAGGU